UACAGAGGGGGCAAGCGUUGUUCGGAAUUACUGGGCGUAAAGGGCUCGUAGGUGGCCAACUAAGUCAGACGUGAAAUCCCUCGGCUUAACCGGGGAACUGCGUCUGAUACUGGAUGGCUUGAGUUUGGGAGAGGAAUGCGGAAUUCCAGGUGUAGCGGUGAAAUGCGUAGAUAUCUGGAGGAACACCGGUGGCGAAGGCGGCAUUCUGGACCAAUACUGACGCUGAGGAGCGAAAGCCAGGGGAGCAAACGGG
rnacentral:rRNA from 1 species